CAGGAACCUCAUGCUUUGCUCCGUAUUUUCAGAGUAGCAGCGUGUCAAGGUUGCUGCAUCCUGCAGAGAGAGUGAGAAGUUUAUCUAUUUCUUGUCAGAAGAAGUGUGGUAGAUGGGAGGGAUCCCAGCAGGCACCAGGACUGGCAUGCUCUUCCAGCUAGACUUCCCUCCCUUUUCCAUCCUGGUGACUCCUCUCCUCAUGAGGUCCCUUCCUCCACACAUGAACACCAAAGAACAUUGGAACUAUGAAGCACAAACUCAUCCAGGCUGAUGUUUGACUGCUACAGGUGUGUGCUGGAAAAUUAUUGCAUCUGAGUUGAACUAAGCAAAGAUUCAUAUAUUUUAAUCCACGUUGAUUAAAUGAAUAUUUUUACAGUGACAUUUUACAUUGCACAGGCAAUCUGAUCUCUUCAAAGUUCCAAGAAACACUAAUUGUAAAGGGACUCCAAGAGCCUUUAUUAACAAUUUAAUUUCUCUAGGGUAUUUAAUUCAGACCUCUUUAAUACUGUGUUUGACCUUUCCUUUCCUACAAACUUAUUUAAUACUGCUCCUAAAAGUGAUUUUUGGGAUACUGUAUUUUCAACUUUUUUUUUUACUCUGAAAUGCAGCUUAUUCUCAUUAUUUGUUUACAAAAGCCACCUUGAAGUCUGCAGACAAAGGCUUGGAAUCUUCAGCAUUCUCUUCAGUUUCCUAAUGUACAUUCUUAAGUUUCAGUCUCCCUAGAGAAAUACAGUCCUAAUGAGCUAAAACACACAAAUGAAGUUUGUAAUACCAUUUGGCAU
rnacentral:lncRNA from 1 species